UUUCAAUCCAAUCUCAAUCCCAAUCCAUAGUAUGAUACGGGCUUUACGAUCUAUCGCGCUAAAUACCAAUAACGUGCGCCCAUAUGGAUUUGCAUAAGUGCAUCAUACAUAUGGAUGCACCCUAACUUUUGCAGCACCGCACGUCGCAUUUCACAGCGCAAGCGCUUCAUGCCACACUCAACUGACUCGACCUUCGCAUGGCUGAAAGAAAUGGUCAUAUGGCGACUCUUAUCUCGCGAAAAUAUGUAUGCUAUAAGGUGAUACAAGAUCAAAUGAUCGAUGAUCGAUGAUCGAAACACAUUCUGCUUGCUCAUCUGACUGACUGUCUAACUGCUUGCCCACCUGCCUACCUAGUUGCAUUGUACAUGUCAUGAUCCUAAUUUUAGCGCUCAAGACAUGAGCGAUUCAUCGAGGGAAUUGAAGGUAAUGACUCGAGAUAGCCUGCGCCUGGGGUAUCCAACUACUCUAGGAGCGGCUCUAUUUUUGCUAUCUCUUAAUCUGUAUUGCGUAUUUUUACCUCCCCCUCCUAUUGAGUUUCACGCACCCCUGUGCAGGGGUGGCGGCACGCACGUGGCCGACACAUGGCCGCACGCCAAAUAUAACGAACGCAUGGAAGCUAUCGCCCGAAAUACACAGCUGUUGGCCGUAUACGGUUUAAUGCGACGUCAGAACAAUGCGUGCGUAUUGUGUAUAUUUGUCCCUCCUUCGAAGGAAUCUUCGAAGAGGUUUCCUCCGGAAUGAAUUAUUGCGGUUGUAGAUUUGUUUUUUUUUUCACAGUAUUUGAAUUUUUUAUAUUUAAGAUAGAAUUGUGUUGCAUAGAGAUAGCUCAAAAAAUUGAUUGAAAUAAUGUAGCACUGCUGCGCACAUGCAUUUGCUCAUUACAUGCAUGAGAUUGAAUUUCCAAGCUGUAGCAAUAGUCGCGCGACACGGGUGGCAAUUUCUUCUGUUAAAGUCACAGGUGGCUCAUAUCCUUAAGUGGCGAGCCGCCACCGUAAGACGUCAGUAAAGGAACACACAGUCGAGGACAUAAUAGUUAUUAUAUAAUAUACAGUUUUAUUACCAUAUUAUCAUUAAUCAUAAGGUAUAAUAAGAAGAACGAUUCGUCGGACAGCAAUAUGAGCCGACAUCGAAGUGGUCGGUAUGGAUGAUCAUAUUCCUCGUUGUCGUUGCUGUUGUUCGAUUACCAUCUUGUAGGCA